CCUAGCGGCGGACGGGUGAGUAAUGCUUAGGAAUCUGCCUAUUAGUGGGGGACAACAUUCCGAAAGGAAUGCUAAUACCGCAUACGUCCUACGGGAGAAAGCAGGGGAUCUUCGGACCUUGCGCUAAUAGAUGAGCCUAAGUCGGAUUAGCUAGUUGGUGGGGUAAAGGCCUACCAAGGCGACGAUCUGUAGCGGGUCUGAGGGGAUGAUCCGCCACACUGGGACUGAGACACGGCCCAG
rnacentral:rRNA from 1 species